rnacentral:rRNA from 1 species
CCUAGAAUAAAUCUAAGGUGUGACCUGCCCUAUGAUUUUCAAGUCAAUCAACAUAAUCAUUGUUAAGAAAAUUUAAAGGACGCAGUAACCUGACUGUGGUAAUGUAGCAUAAUCACUCGCCAUUUAAUUGAUGGAUAGUAUGAAUGGUUAAACGAAUUCUUCACUGUCUCAAGAAGAGAAUCCAUAAAAUUAAAAUAAUAGUUAAGAUACUAUUUAAAAUUGUAAGACGAAAAGACCCUAUAGAGCUUAACUAUAAUCUUCUUAAAUUUAUAAAUAAGAAGAAGGGUAGUUUAGUUGGGGCGACUAUCUUCUAAAAGAAACGAAGAUAAGCAAAAUUAAUAAAUAUAAAUUUAUUGUAUAAUUAAUAGAUUUAACAAUUACGAAAGUAGGCUAUAUUGACCCGUUAUAAACAAGUGAAACAAAUAACGAUUAAUAAAUAAAAGCUACCUUAGGGAUAACAGGAUAAUUUUGUUCUAGAGACCCUAUCGAAAACAAAGUUUGUCACCUCUAUGUUGAAUUAAGAUAUCCUAAUAGUGCAGAACUUAUUAAGGGUAGGUCUGUUCGACCUUUAAAAU